rnacentral:tRNA from 1 species
AAGAGAGAACAAUUUAGUAAAAGUCGCUAACUUUGCCUAUUGAAGCUAAAUUCUUCAACCCUCUUU